UGGGGAAUAUUGGACAAUGGGCGAAAGCCUGAUCCAGCAAUGCCGCGUGGGUGAAGAAGGUCUUCGGAUCGGAAAGCCCUUUCGACGGGGACGAUGAUGACGGUACCCGUAGAAGAAGCCCCGGCUAACUUCGUGCCAGCAGCCGCGGUAAUACGAAGGGGGCUAGCGUUGCUCGGAAUUACUGGGCGUAAAGGGCGCGUAGGCGGCGGCCCAAGUCAGGCGUGAAAUUCCUGGGCUCAACCUGGGGACUGCGCUUGAUACUGGGUUGCUUGAGGAUGGAAGAGGCUCGUGGAAUUCCCAGUGUAGAGGUGAAAUUCGUAGAUAUUGGGAAGAACACCGGUGGCGAAGGCGGCGAGCUGGUCCAUUACUGACGCUGAGGCGCGACAGCGUGGGGAGCAAACAGG
rnacentral:rRNA from 1 species